AGUUGGUAGAUGCCCUGUCAAAUGUCAAGUUCCUGCUCCAAACCACGGAGACUCUACAGCUUCUCAAGAAAACAGAGUGACAAAACUUCAUCCCAGCGAGAACAUUCUAUAACCCGCUCACCAGUAAAACUGAACAACAUUUACAGCGGCAAAAACAGGAUAUAAUGCACAGUUAAACUUCAUGAUGGCUUGGAUAUCAUUCUGUUCAAGGUUGCUACGGCUAAUUGCAUGGAGGGCUCUGAAUUAAUCUGGACUCUAUCAACAGGGAACCAAUGGAGAGCAGAGCACCAGAGUGAUAUCUCAUACUUGUUGGAGCAAGUUCAGGGC